rnacentral:rRNA from 1 species
AACGAACGCUGGCGGCAUGCCUAACACAUGCAGGUCGAACGAGACCUCCGGGUCUAGUGGCGCACGGGUGCGUAAGGCGUGGGAACCUGCCCUUAGGUUCGGAAUAACUCCCCGAAAGGGGUGCUAAUACCGGAUAAUGUCUUCGGACCAAAGAUUUAUCGCCUUUGGAUGGGCCCGCGUUGGAUUAGCUAGUUGGUAGGGUAAAAGCCUACCAAGGCGACGAUCCAUAGCUGGUCUGAGAGGAUGAUCAGCCACACUGGGACUGAGACACGGCCCAGACUCCUACGGGAGGCAGCAGUGGGGAAUAUUGGACAAUGGGCGAAGGCCUGAUCCAGCAAUGCCGCGUAAGUGAUGAAGGCCUUAGGGUUGUAAAGCUCUUUUACCCGGGAUGAUAAUGACGGUACCGGGAGAAUAAGCUCCGGCUAACUCCGUG